rnacentral:rRNA from 1 species
GACGAACGCUGGCGGCGUGCUUAACACAUGCAAGUCGAACGGAAAGGCCCUGCUUUUGUGGGGUGCUCGAGUGGCGAACGGGUGAGUAACACGUGAGUAACCUGCCCUUGACUUUGGGAUAACUUCAGGAAACUGGGGCUAAUACCGGAUAGGAGCUCCUGCUGCAUGGUGGGGGUUGGAAAGUUUCGGCGGUUGGGGAUGGACUCGCGGCUUAUCAGCUUGUUGGUGGGGUAGUGGCUUACCAAGGCUUUGACGGGUAGCCGGCCUGAGAGGGUGACCGGGCACAAUGGGGCUGAGAUACGGCCCAGACUCCUACGGGAGGCAGCAGUGGGGAAUAUUGCACAAUGGGCGGAAGCCUGAUGCAGCAACGCCGCGUGCGGGAUGACGGCCUUCGGGUUGUAAACCGCUUUCGCCUGUGACGAAGCGUGAGUGACGGUAAUGGGUAAAGAAGCACCGGCUAACUACGUG